AGUGUGUUCCACUUGGUCUGGGUUUUGAAAUAAACAUCCUCAAGCCUAUAUUCUGGCUGGAUCUUUCACCCCUAGUUCUGUGCGUGCCAGAGAUGCCAGCAUCAAAUAAGAAUGAGGAACUGUUUUCCAUGGAAGCUAAAAGAAUUGGUGACAGAGAAGCCCUGCACCCCGGUAGAGACCCGGAGUCAAGUUUCAAAGCCUCACCUGGUAGCAAGAGGAGCCCAGCGGACGUCUCACAAGAGGGUGUCCCUGCCCACUGGGUCAUCAUGCCUGGCACUGGAAUAGAAAGCUAAGCCCAACAGCUGUGGGCCCUGACUUCCUGAUGCUUACAGUCAGGUCAGUUGUAAGUGAUUUAUGAAAACCUUUCAAAGGUCGCUAUCCAUCCUUAAAAUACAUCAAUCUUCUGCAGCAACUCUCUGCUUUGAAGAAAGAAACUUUCUGUUCCACAAACACGUUAGACAAGAAUGUGGUUGAUCAACAGGGCAUAGGAUUCUUGAAAUCAACAUUUAUUCCCAUGGCAUCACCUGAGGCAGCCGGCACACUUCUGGUUCCGAUUAAAACUACUGCAACAACAAUGGAUGGAUCUACAGGAAUCCUUUGUUCUUAAAUUAAUUUAAAUAAAUCCUGGAAUAACAAACGGUACUGAACUUUCUCACAUGUGCCCUCGAUGGCAUGACAUUCUAAUAGGAAUAUGUGUUGGUCUUAAUAAAAAUGGAUGAUCCAGGGACAGAUACCCAGCCCACUGGCAUCUCAAACCUCCAUUUUAACCCUGUAGUUUUAAGUAGACAACAUGAUCCUAAUGUUCUGUCAUUUGGAAUAAGGUUUCAGACAGUUUUAAAUACAUUUUUAUAAGGCUCAAAUCUCUUCAUUACAUGAAGCGCUACAGCAAUUACUUGCCAGACACAAUAUUUUCUUAAAUCAUACACAUAGUGAAAAUAUAUAUAUACAUUACAAAAAUAAAAUUCAUGUUGACUUAUCAUUCCUAAAAUAACUUUCUCUACUCAUAUCCAUUUAUCUCUAGACAAACAGUCAUUGCAAAUAUGAUUUGCCAAGGAUUUGAAUCUAUGU